AUUGAACGCUGGCGGAAUGCUUUACACAUGCAAGUCGAGCGGCAGCGCAGUCUUCGGACUGGCGGCGAGCGGCGAACGGGUGAGUAAUACAUCGGAACAUGCCCAGUCGUGGGGGAUAACACUUCGAAAGAAGUGCUAAUACCGCAUACGUCCUGAGGGAGAAAGCGGGGGAUCGCAAGACCUCGCGCGAUUGGAGUGGCCGAUGUCAGAUUAGCUAGUUGGUGGGGUAAAGGCCUACCAAGGCAACGAUCUGUAGCUGGUCUGAGAGGAUGAUCAGCCACACUGGGACUGAGACACGGCCCAGACUCCUACGGGAGGCAGCAGUGGGGAAUUUUGGACAAUGGGGGCAACCCUGAUCCAGCCAUUCCGCGUGAGUGAAGAAGGCCUUCGGGUUGUAAAGCUCUUUCGGCAGGAACGAAACGGUGAGCUCUAACAUAGCUCGCUAAUGACGGUACCUGAAGAAGAAGCACCGGCUAACUACGUGCCAGCCGCCGCGGUAAAAC
rnacentral:rRNA from 1 species